UCGGGAAUAUUGCGCAAUGGAGGAAACUCUGACGCAGUGACGCCGCGUGCAGGAAGAAGGUUUUCGGAUUGUAAACUGCUUUAGACAGGGAAGAAAGAAAUGACGGUACCUGUAGAAUAAGCUCCGGCUAACUACGUGCCAGCAGCCGCGGUAAUACGUAGGGAGCAAGCGUUAUCCGGAUUUAUUGGGUGUAAAGGGUGCGUAGACGGGUAUACAAGUUAGUAGUGAAAUCCCUCGGCUUAACUGAGGAACUGCUACUAAAACUAUAUAUCUUGAGUACUGGAGGGGAAAGCGGAAUUCCUAGUGUAGCGGUGAAAUGCGUAGAUAUUAGGAAGAACACCGGUGGCGAAGGCGGCUUUCUGGACAGAAACUGACGUUGAGGCACGAAAGUGUGGGGAGCAAACAGG
rnacentral:rRNA from 1 species